rnacentral:rRNA from 1 species
GUGGGGAAUAUUGGACAAUGGGCGAAAGCCUGAUCCAGCCAUGCCGCGUGUGUGAAGAAGGUCUUCGGAUUGUAAAGCACUUUAAGUUGGGAGGAAGGGCAGUAAGUUAAUACCUUGCUGUUUUGACGUUACCAACAGAAUAAGCACCGGCUAACUUCGUGCCAGCAGCCGCGGUAAUACGAAGGGUGCAAGCGUUAAUCGGAAUUACUGGGCGUAAAGCGCGCGUAUGUGGUUCAGCAAGUUGAAGGUGAAAUCCCCGGGCUCAACCUGGGAACUGCCUCCAAAACUACUGAGCUAGAGUACGGUAGAGGGUAGUGGAAUUUCCUGUGUAGCGGUGAAAUGCGUAGAUAUAGGAAGGAACACCAGUGGCGAAGGCGACUACCUGGACUGAUACUGACACUGAGGUGCGAAAGCGUGGGGAGCAAACAGGAUUAGAUACCCCGGUAGUCC